ACUUCAGUGGUCGCCGGCGCAAGAUGGCGGAGGAGGGUUCCGUUUGCACCUUCGUUUUCAAGAAGCGGGGCCUGGCGGCGGGCAGGGGUCGGCGCAAGCGGCCCAGCAGCGACCAGGAGCAGGAGAGCAGCGGUGAGGAGGGCAGCACGGUGGUGCGCAAGGAGCGGCGGCGGGAGGCCCCCAACCCCAUGAUCCAGAAGACCAGGAGAUGCGCCAAGGAGAGGCCUGCGUACGCGGUGAGCAGCAGUGACGAUGAGGAUCCAUCCAAGGAGAUUGGAGUCACUUACAAAUCAACAAGGUCGGCGAAACCUGUUGGCCCAGAAGACAUGGGAGCCACAGCAGUGUAUGAGCUGGACACGGAGAAGGAGAAAGAUGCUCAGGCCAUCUUCGAACGCAGCCAGAAGAUCCAGGAGGAGCUGAGAGGAAAGGAAGAUGAUAAAAUUUACCGUGGUAUUAACAACUACCAGAAGUACGUGAAACCCAAGGACACGUCGAUGGGAAACGCCUCUUCAGGGAUGGUCAGAAAAGGACCCAUCCGUGCUCCGGAGCACUUGCGGGCCACGGUGCGGUGGGACUACCAGCCUGACAUCUGCAAGGACUACAAAGAAACUGGGUUCUGCGGCUUUGGAGACAGUUGCAAAUUUCUCCACGACCGCUCGGACUACAAACACGGGUGGCAGAUCGAACGGGAGCUGGAUGAAGGCCGGUACGGAGUGAACGAUGAGGAAAACUACGAGGUGAGCAGCGACGAGGAGGAUAUGCCUUUCAAAUGCUUCAUCUGCAGAAGUUCCUUCAAGAACCCCGUGGUCACCAAGUGUAGGCACUACUUCUGUGAGAGCUGUGCCCUCCAACACUAUCGCAAAUCCCAGCGCUGCUACGUCUGUGACAAGCAAACCAACGGCGUCUUCAACCCAGCUAAAGAGCUAAUGGCAAAAUUGGAAAAACACAAAGGGGAGGAAGAAGAGGAGGAAGAGCAGCAGCAUUCAGACCAUGGAGAGGAUCCCCAAUAGCAGAGCACCCUGUUUUGUAUGUAGCUGAAUAAAGUUUUCAUAGGAGAUAAAAACGCUCAUGGCAGUUGCCUUGGGGCCAGCAGCUGUUCCCAGCUUGUGUAUCCAACCAGCAGCUACUAAACCAGUGUCCUGACUGGACCAGACUCCCUCUUUGCUGCUCUAAAGGUGUAAGAACAGGUUGCUGUUUCACUCCUAACUUCGCACUGAUCUUGCUUCAGGCUGCUGUGUAAGCAUAAAACUACUUCCAAGUUAAUUUAAGUCCAUAAUCUUUGAGCACAUAACAAGCUGAAAGCGUGGAAGGGGAUGAGAAAUAUUAGCUUGCGUUAAGUUCAUCCUUCACCCUAAAAAUGCAAACUCAGGGGAAAGCAGGUUCCAGGGCUGCAGUUACUUGUGAUUUAUUACAGCUCAGUGUUUUCCCUCCUGUCCUUUCUGCCUGCUUCUGGAUUCCUAGGAGAAUUCAAGAGAGACUUAAAAUGUCAGUGGGCAACGUUGUUGAACCUCUCCUGUAAGGAAACCUCCAAACCAUCACCAACUCAGCCCCAAAGGUUUUAUGCUGAAUGGUUUCGUGCUUUUUCUUGCUGGUAUGUUCUACCACCAUCCAGCCAGGGUGCAAGCUUCCUCUGAAGUAAGGAAAGGAGAAGAGAGCGAGCACGCACAGCCAGCCUGUGGCAUUUGUGAUCCACUCCAUCACCUUGCAGCAACAGCAGACUUAAAAAAAACAA